UCAUCGAGAAGACAAAUCUUUAUGACUAAUGAAAUGUUUGUCUGUAGUUUGGAUUCAAUGCAAAUGCAGUUGUUCAUGUGCGUAACAGCGAAUGGCCCCGCUGUUGCGUGUGUGGUGAGCUACAAUCCGAAUCAAUUCUACUGUAAACAUUUUAUUGAUGUGGCUCCUCACGUUGGAUGGAAGGAUGGGUAAUAUUGACAGCAGUAUUUAGUCGGAGAUAUAGUGACAUGGCAAUACUUAUGUGAAUGUAACGAAUACUGGACAAAGUGUACCAUAACUUUGGUGUGGGUUUGUUGAUAAACAGCAAUGCUAGUUGGAAUGCAAUGAUGCGCCGUGGUGAUGUGGAAAAAAAUGAUAAACUAUGCAAUGUUGAACGUCUGAAAGUCACAAAAUGUAGGUUUUGGAUUGCACUUGGAUAUGACUCGCGUUCGUAAAAUAGAAGUCAUUCAGAAAGGAGAUACGGGAAAUAUGAUGUACACAUUGGUGUUACCAACAUUGUGGUAUUCAAGUCUACGAUACGUGAAGAGUGUUACCCGAGAAGAAAACAAGAGCAGAUGAGUUGUCAACUAUUCAGACACAGAAAGAGGUGAGCGCUAAAGUACAGUCAUUAAAUUGGAAUGGAAAACAUUGCAACUCACGGACUUUCUCUUGUCAUCAGUUGCGUCGAUCUCAAGAAAGAAGUCGAUAACGUUAAAACUAAGACCGAGUCGAAUAACUUGGUUUUAUCUGAAGUACCGAAAAUGAAUGGAUUAUUGGAAGGUCAAUUAUUAACGAUAGUCGAAUUAAUGAAACGGAUCGAUCAAAAGUUUAGCAGUAUGCAAACAGAAAUCGGCAGCUUAAGAAGGGAAAUGCACGAAAUGAAGCAAAACAAUAACUUGAUUUGACUGUAUUUCGGACUUUCAUGCAUACACCAACAUUAUUUACACGAUUCAAAGGCAAUUUUGAGCACAAACGUAUGUUCCUCAACACCUAUAUAAAGCAUUAAUUCGUAUAAUAUCGUCAUUUUCAAUGUAAUUAUUUCCACAUUAACGCCGGUACAUGCACUUAUUACAAAGACAAUUCUAUCUUAAUUUUUAACAUAGCUAUGUUUAAUAAAUUUGAAUUUCCUUUUAAGGAUUUUUGGUUUUUAUAUAAAUGAAUAAAGUAAAUCACAUUU